rnacentral:tRNA from 1 species
UGGGUUAUAGCUCAGUUGGUAGAGUGUUUGCCUCACAUGUACAAGGCCCUGGGUUCAAUCCCUAGUACCAUAC